GGUCUAUAGUUCAGUGGCAGAGCACUUGCCUAGCAUGCAUGAGGCACUGGGUUCAAUCCUCAGCACCA
rnacentral:tRNA from 1 species